GGGGGCAACCCUGACCGAGCAACGCCGCGUGAGUGAAGAAGGUUUUCGGAUCGUAAAGCUCUGUUGUAAGUCAAGAACGGGUGUGAGAGUGGAAAGUUCACACUGUGACGGUAGCUUACCAGAAAGGGACGGCUAACUACGUGCCAGCAGCCGCGGUAAUAA
rnacentral:rRNA from 1 species